UACUUUUGCAACCGUUAUAUAAUAGCUAUAUAACAUACAUAAAAAUCAUUUAACACAAUAUUGGAAUG
rnacentral:ncRNA from 1 species